UUCGCAAUGCCCGAAAGGGUGACGAAGCGACGCCGCGUGUGGGAAGAAGGCCUUCGGGUUGUAAACCACUGUCGGGAGCACAGAAAUACAAGGAUAUUAAUAGCAUCUUUGUUUGACUAAGGCUCCGGAGGAAGCCACGGCUAACUCUGUGCCAGCAGCCGCGGUAAUACAGAGGCGGCAAGCGUUGUUCGGAAUUGCAUUGGGCGUAAAGAGCACAUAGGCGGCUAUGUAAGUCGGUUGUGAAAGCCUUCCGCUCAACGGAAGAACAGCAUCCGAUACUACAUGGCUUGAGUGCGGGAGGGGAGAGUGGAACUUCUGGCAGAGCGGUCACAUGCGUAGAUAUCAGAAGGAACGCCGGCGGCGAAAGCGGCUCUCUGGCCCAUAACUGACGCUGAGUAUGCGACAGCUAGGGGAGCAAACGGGAUUAGAUACCCCGGUACACAUAGCCGUAAACGAUGGCAACUAAGUAGACAGGUUA
rnacentral:rRNA from 1 species